ensembl:ncRNA Y97E10AL.5 ncRNA
AACAAAUUAUUUGAAAUUAAAAUAUAGAAUUCACGUCAAAACUUUUAAAAGCGGCGAGCGGCCAAGGCAAAGGCCGGUCGGCGUGAAGCGCCGACGCCGCGCCGCUCUCUUAUGGAAGCCUUAGUUUCUAACUACAUUUCGUUUUUUAGG